CUCCUGGACUGCUUUCUUGUUUUCUCUGAUGUCUGGCUGGUUAUUAUGGACGACUAUUAUCAUCAUUUUAAAUCAUAUUCUGGUGCUAUUCAUUUGUACGUAACAUGAAACGGCUAAAAAUCAAGAAUUUAUACACAAGUAAAGCAUGCAAAAAGGCACACUCUGUGUUCAUUCUAAGAGAUUGUAGUAAUAUUUUAUGUUUGUAUAAAAUGUGUCCUGCUGAAGUUGAUC
rnacentral:lncRNA from 1 species